GCGGACGGCGCCGCCGCGGAAGCAGCCGGGCGGGCGGGGCACGGGGCGGGCUGGGAGGCUCUCGGCGCCCGCCCGCCCGGCCCAGGGCAGCGAGGACGCGGCGGCCGGGAGGCGACCCGAGCCCGCCCGGGCUGUACCCUCCCAGCCCUGCCCUGGGGCGGGAGGGGCGGCAACACUGGAGGGCGGCCCUGCCUCGCCUGCCCUCAUCCACGCCGGCCACUGCUCCGGCCGCUGCAGGGCGCCCAGCGGGCAGCAAACCCGGCGCUUGCACCUGGAACUGCCGCCUCGGGAGGGAAGAUGGCGGUCAGCCGUCACUGCGUGCGCGGCCCUGCAGACGUGCGCGCCUCCGCCAUCGACGGCACGGCGCUCUUCCCGGCGGCUCCGCCAGCGUGCGCGGCCCCGCAAGGCGCGCUGGAGCCUGGGGAGGAGGGCGGUGACCUGGGCACGCGGCGGAGUGGGCGGGGCCUGGUUAGCAAAGAUUUAAAAUUGGUAAUAUCAAUAUUUGUGACCUCUGUAAGUCUGCUCUGAAGUCUCAGAUUCCUGUUGUUUUUUUUUUUUUGGAGACAGAGUCUUGGCUUUUGUUGCCUGGGCUGGAGUGCAAUGGCGUGAUCUCUGCUAACUGCAACCUCCACCUCUCCACCUCCUGGGUUCAAGUGAUUCUCCUGCCUCGGCCUACUGAGUAGCUGGGAUUAUAGGCAUGCCACCAUGCCCGGCUAAUUUUUGUGUUUUUAGUAGAGAUGGGGUUUCACCAUGUUGACCAGGCUGUUCUUGAACUCCUGACCUCAGGUGAUCUGCCCGCCUCGGCCUCCCAAAGUGCUGGGAUUACAAGCGUGAGCCACCGCGCCAGGCCUGAAGUCUCAGAUUCUGCUUCGAAUGAACCCUUCCAAUGUCUGGGCUAGGAGGAGAAGCAUGCAUGCUCAUGUGACUCUCACAUCAACCUCAGUGUUGCUGGUAACUGGGGGAUGCUCUCCCACAUCUGCUGGGCCUCUUUCAAACGUUCUGACCGGCCCACGUGGGUAGGGAAGAAGUGCUCCUGACUGCACCUCUACCCAUCUCAACACCACUGUCCGGCGUCUGGUCUGUUUCCACACUCAGCCCAGGGUGGGCGCGUCUCUGUGCUGAGGUCGGUGUGUCUGCUGGGUGGCCCUCCUCCAUGAGCCACUUCUUCCCCGGGUAUCCACUGGAGAACCAGUGAUACUGCAGGAAAAGCUGUCUUAUCAGGAUCAUUUCACCGUCUUUAACUGCGGUUCCUAAUGAAGGAUUUUCAAGGAUUUUAAAAGUACCUUUAUAUAGAAAAUUUCAAACUCAACAAGCCGGGGAGACUCAUAUGACCAAUCAGUCUCCAUCAGCUAUCGCCCAGCAUCGGUGACUGCCCACCCCGGGGCCAGUCUUAUGUGACAGACUCCCCUCCAUCCCUUUGAAGCAAAUUCCAGACAUCGUUUCGUCAGUAUCUCUUAAAAAGUGGAAUUUUUGUACAAGAUUAUGAUCUCGUUAUCACUCUACAAAGAUUAAUAAUUUUCAAGAGUAAUUUUCACUAUAAAAGAUUUUCAGGCUGGGCAUGGUGGCUCACACCUGUAAUCCUAGCACUUUGGGAGGCCAAGGUGGGUGGAUCGCUUCAGCUCAGGAAUUUGAGACCAACUUGGGCCACAUAGCAAGAUCCCAUCCCUAAAAAAAAAACACACACACAAAAAUUAGCCAGGCAUGGUGGCUGUAGUCCCAGCUACUCGGGAGGCUAAGGUGGGAAGAUCCCUUGAGCCUGGGAGGCAGAGAUUGCAGUGAGUGGAGAUUGCACCACUCUACACCAGCCUGGGGGAGAAAGACAGACCCUGUCUCAAAAAAAAAAAAAAAAAUUCCAACCAUAGGUGCUGACCUAGAACCUAAUGCUUGUACACUCCGACUCCAGUGAACAGCACUGUUUACUUGGCCUACUUCCUCUUGUAGACAGCAAACUCCUAAAGGGUGAGGAGCUGUCUACCUCACUUUUGUACCAACUGCAGGCCCUCAAAUAUGUGUUGGAUUAAACAGAUGAUUGUGGAAAGAGUAGGUCAAAAUCCUACAACUACUACAUACCUAUCAGAGCAGCUAAAAUAAAUACUGACAGCAUCAAAUGCUAGCAAGGAGGUGAAGAAACCACACCUCUCAUAUGUUACUGUGGGAAAGUAAAAUGGUGCAACCAGUCUGGAAAAUAGUUUGGCAGUGACUUUAAUAAAAAAACUUAGCUGGGCAUGGUGGCUGGUGCCUGCAGUCCCAGCUACUCAGGGGGCUGAGGUGGGAGGAUUGUUUGAGCCUAUGAGGUUGAGGCUGCAGUAAGAUGUGACUGUGCCACUGCACUCCAGCCUGGUCAACACAAUGAGACCCUGUCUCAGAGAAAAUGUAAUUAAUUUAAUUUAUAAACUAAACAUACACUUACCACAGGACCCAGCAAUUGCAUUCCUGUGCAUUUACCUCAGACUAAUGAGAACUUAUGUCUAUCAAACAUUUUACACAGAUGUCCACAGCAGCUUGAUUUGUAAUAGCCCAAAUUUGGAAACACCAAAAUGCCCUUCAAAGGAUGAUAGUUAAACAAACCUCAGCAGGUGCACGCCAUGGACACUACUCAGCAAUUUUUACAAAGAACAAACUACUGAUGCCCACAGACAGCCCUCAAGGGUAUCCUGCUGACGGGAAAAGCCAGUCCCAUAAGGUCACACCAUACUGUAUGACUCCAUUCACAUGACAAGGACAGGGAGGAAGAGGAGGAGGCUGGCUUCAAAGGGAGGCCAUUGUGGUGAUGGAGCAAUUUUGUAACUUGACCUAUGCCACCAUGCCAGGCUAAUUUUUGUAUUUUUUGUGGAAAUGGGGUUUUGCCAUGUUGCCCAGGCUGGUCACCUGCCUCAGCCUCUCAAAGUGCUGGAGUUACAGGCAUGAGCCAUCAUGCCCAGCUGUGAUGGUUAAUAUUUGUGUCAACCUGAGGGCCCUAAGGGAUGCCCAGAUAGCUAGUAAAACAUGAUUCUGGGUGCUGCCUUCACCAACAUGAGCAGGCAACCUCCAACUCACUCAGAGCCUGAAUAGAAGAGAAAGGUGUUUAGGAGGAGCAAGAUUAUAUGGAGGAGAAAAAAAAAAGGUGGAAGGACGGAACCUGAGGGAAACUUCUCCCUCUUUGUUCUUGAGCUGGGACAUUCAUCGUCUUCUGUCCGCGGGCAUCAGAGCUCCGGGCUAUUGCUUCAGACUCUGGGACUUCACUGGCUCUUCACCCCGUCCCACGCCACCAGCUCUCCUGCGUCUCAGGAUUACAGACGGCAGAUGGUGGGAGUUCCCGGCCGCCACAACCACCUGAGCCAAUUCCUCAUUAUAAAUCUCUCUCAAAUGCAGAUAUAGGUAUAGCUAUAGAUAUAUACCUCAUAUUGGUUCUGUUUCUCUGGAGACCCUAAUACAGAGAUUAGUUUAUACUAAUAUAUACUCUAAUAUAUAUAUAUAGAUUAAUAUAUAGCCUAAUAUAUAUAAUAUAGAUAUAUA
ensembl:lncRNA